AACGAACGUUGGCGGCGUGGAUUAGGCAUGCAAGUCGAACGCGAACGCCGGGCUUCGGCCUGGUUAGUAGAGUGGCGAACGGGUGAGUAGCGCGUGGGCAAUCUGCCCUGGAGUGGGGAAUAACCAUCCUAACGGGUGGCUAAUUCCGCAUGUGACCGUUUCUUCGCAUGGAGAGACGGGGAAAGGCGGGGAUCUUCGGACCUGCCGCUCCAGGAGGAGCCCGCGUCCCAUUAGCUUGUUGGUGGGGUAAUGGCCCACCAAGGCCGCGAUGGGUAGCCGAUCUGAGAGGAUGACCGGCCACACUGGGACUGAGAUACGGCCCAG
rnacentral:rRNA from 1 species